GACAGAGGUGCCGAGCGUUAGGCGGAAUCACUGGGCUUAAAGCGUGUGUAGGCGGACUUCUACGUACCUUGUGAAAUCCCACGGCUCAACCGUGGAACUGCUCGGUAUACUGGUCGUCUUGAGCCACCUAGGGGCGAGCGGAACAAGCGGUGGAGCGGUGAAAUGCGUAGAUAUCGCUUGGAACGCCAACGGUGAAAACAGCUCGCUGGGGGUGUGCUGACGCUGAGACACGAAAGCCAGGGGAGCGAACGGG
rnacentral:rRNA from 1 species